rnacentral:tRNA from 1 species
GAACGUAUAGCUCAGUGGUAAAGCGUGUGCUUAGUAUGCAUGAGGUCCUGGGUUCAAUCCCUAGUACCUCCU